rnacentral:lncRNA from 1 species
UUGAUCGGGUUUAGAAAGUGAUCGUGCCACUUUGCAGGGACUGAAUGUAAUAAUUCCUUGCGGCAGGGCUUGAACAAGUCUCGACAGGGCAGGCCGUGUUCGGAGACUAGUUCAGACUUAGUAUGGUUAUUAUUACAAAUUACAACUUUCACAGUUUAUAUAUUACAAAAAUAUCUGCUAUCGUUAUAAGUGAUCACAAAUCUGAACUAGAAACUGCACGAGAUUAGUUCAUUCAACAUGAA